ensembl:rRNA 5S_rRNA 5S ribosomal RNA
GUCUAUAGCCAUACUACCCUGAACACACCCGAUUUCAUCUGAUCUCGAAAGCUAAGCAGGGUCGGGCCUGGUUAGUACUUGAGUGGAAGAAAUGUUCCUCUCACUUGACCUCAGGAAAAUGAGAUGUUAACU